AGUGGGGAAUAUUGGACAAUGGGGGCAACCCUGAUCCAGCCAUGCCGCGUGAGUGAUGAAGGCCUUCGGGUUGUAAAGCUCUUUUGGCGGGGACGAUGAUGACGGUACCCGCAGAAUAAGCCCCGGCUAACUUCGUGCCAGCAGCCGCGGUAAGACGAAGGGGGCUAGCGUUGUUCGGAAUUACUGGGCGUAAAGCGAGUGUAGGUGGUUGUCAUAGUCAGGUGUGAAAGCCUUGAGCUCAACUCAAGAAAUGCACUUGAUACUGGGCGACUAGAGGACCGGAGAGGAUAGUGGAAUUCCCAGUGUAGUGGUGAAAUACGUAGAGAUUGGGAAGAACACCAGUGGCGAAGGCGGCUAUCUGGACGGUUACUGACACUAAGACUCGAAAGCGUGGGGAGCAAA
rnacentral:rRNA from 1 species